rfam:Schistosoma curassoni strain Dakar, Senegal genome assembly, scaffold: SCTD_scaffold0002379
ACCCAGUUGACGAGUCCCGAAUAGGACAAAACGCGCGUUGUAGAU